rnacentral:rRNA from 1 species
CAGUAGCCGCGGUAAUACGUAGGUGGCAAGCGUUGUCCGGAAUUAUUGGGCGUAAAGGGCUCGCAGGCGGUUUCUUAAGUCUGAUGUGAAAGCCCCCGGCUCAACCGGGGAGGGUCAUUGGAAACUGGGAAACUUGAGUGCAGAAGAGGAGAGUGGAACUCCACGUGUAGCGGUGAAAUGCGUAGAGAUGUGGAGGAACACCAGUGGCGAAGGCGACUCUCUGGUCUGUAACUGACGCUGAGGAGCGAAAGCGUGGGGAGCGAACAGGAUUAGAUACCCCCGUAGUCCCUGUCUCUUAACC